CAUGUAGUGUGGUAUUUAAAUGUACAGAGCAUGAAUUCAUCCCUAGUCGGUACCAGGAAGCCGGACUGUACCAUCUGUGCGAUAGGGGAGGGGUGCACUCUUUUCGGUGUCCUCAAAGAACUAAAUAAAAAAUUGACCAAAACUGUGCUUAUUAUAAGCUUAAACACAUACAAAUCACAAAGUAAUGCUGUGCCGUCGUCAUAUUUGUCUAUUUCUAGGAAAAAAAACGUGUAGUUAAUAUGUUGGUUUAGUCCUGGUACCAUCAGUUCUCUUUAGUGUUUGCCAAUGUUGGAGGUGUAACUGGGGUCUGGCCCUGGACGAAGCGGCAGCUCAGGCACCGUGCAUCGAUGAGAUGUGAGGGGUAUUUAGUCGUUCAGCCAUGAUGUCUGCACAUUCCCAGCUGAGUUCAGACCGGUGGCCUGUGUGCUGGAAAGGAAGGAUCAGGAUGGAUCCUAGUGGUCAAAUGUCACUCCACUGUCUUGAUGCUGACUUGCUUCCAGUCCGUCAUUUG